UGAACGCUGGCGGCGUGCCUAAUACAUGCACGUCGAGCGAACAGACGAGGAGCUUGCUCCUCUGACGUUAGCGGCGGACGGGUGAGUAACACGUGGAUAACCUACCUAUAAGACUGGGAUAACUUCGGGAAACCGAAGCUAAUACCGGAUAAUAUAUUGAACCGCAUGGUUCAAUAGUGAAAGACGGUUUUGCUGUCACUUAUAGAUGGAUCCGCGCCGCAUUAGCUAGUUGGUAAGGUAACGGCUUACCAAGGCAACGAUGCGUAGCCGACCUGAGAGGGUGAUCGGCCACACUGGAACUGAGACACGGUCCAGACUCCUACGGGAGGCAGCAGUAGGGAAUCUUCCGCAAUGGGCGAAAGCCUGACGGAGCAACGCCGCGUGAGUGAUGAAGGUCUUCGGAUCGUAAAACUCUGUUAUUAGGGAAGAACAAAUGUGUAAGUAACUAUGCACGUCUUGACGGUACCUAAUCAGAAAGCCACGGCUAACUACGUG
rnacentral:rRNA from 1 species